rnacentral:rRNA from 1 species
CCCUUAGAUGUCCUGGGCCGCACGCGUGCUACACUGACACUUACACCGAGUUUUUCCAAUGCCGAAAGGCCAUUGGUAAUCAGCAAUAAGUGUCGUGAUGGGGAUAGAUCUUUGGAAUUAUUGAUCUUGAACGAGGAAUGCCUAGUAAUCGUAGGUCAUCAGCCUGCGAUGAUUACGUCCCUGCCCUUUGUACACACCGCCCGUCGCUCCUACCGAGUGGGUGAUCCGGUGAACUAUUCGGACUCCGGUUAUUCCAGCAUUUGGUUUUGCUGGGGAAAGUUUCGUGAACCUUAUCACUUGGAGGAAGGAGAAGUCGUAACA